CGGACGGGUGAGUAAUGUCUGGGAAACUGCCUGAUGGAGGGGGAUAACUACUGGAAACGGUAGCUAAUACCGCAUAACGUCGCAAGACCAAAGAGGGGGACCUUAGGGCCCCUUGCCAUCGGAUGUGCCCAGAUGGGAUUAGCUAGUAGGUGGGGCAACGGCUCACCUAGGCGACGAUCCCUAGCUGGUCUGAGAGGAUGACCAGCCACACUGGAACUGAGACACGGUCCAG
rnacentral:rRNA from 1 species